ensembl:lncRNA
CCUAGGCCACCACACAACACAAACUGCUGCCAAAUAAAUUGUAUUUCAUUCCUAAAAUUAACAUAGACCCAUAUACCUACAUUUAAUUAAUUGGGUUAGGUGAAAAAUUUAAAAAAAAUAAAUAAAUCUGUGUCAAUCUCCGUGAAUUUAUUUACGUGAUGUCACGUGACUCCGGUUGAUUGACGGGCGAACGGACGGUGUUGGCAAAAGGUCAUGCAAAAGUUAAUGAUGUCGAGUCUUCAUCUUCAUCAUGGAUAAAGGUAAAAGACCAAAGAAGCCAUCAGGUGCCCAGUUCAGAAAAAGAAGAAAAGAAGAAGAGGAGAAACGGGCAAAAGAUAAAGCCUCUGGAGACGGGCCUCCAACUCCCUCCACUUGCGUCUCCUUAUUGGGGGAGGAUCAGCCCGGUCUGCCCUCUCCAGCUUCUGCUCAGCAAGCUGAUGCUGGUCUUUCGAGUAGGGUCCAGCUGCAGCCCCGGAGAACAACACCCUUACUGCACUUCGUUCAUGGAAGGACUUCCACCACAGGCAUAUGGGAACGACUGUGGGAUCUUCAUGAUUAUGUAUGCUUGGUACCUUGCCAUGGAGGCCCUGUUUAACUUCACUGUUAAAAUGGUGGUGCACAGUACUGCCUGAGAACUUCCACCUGGAUGGGCACGGCAGAAGGUUCCCACACUUCAUGGAGGAGGCCAAACAAAUGGCGGCUGAACUACUUCCACCAGUCUUCAGACUGAAGCGAAAAAGAGAAGUCCACAGUACUUCCGUCCCGCCUGGGUGUUCUGUCACGCCAGGGUGUUGCUGUCCGGGGCUGCAGCUGGAUACUAUCAGACCCGGCCGCGGACUCUCGGAAGAUCUGGAUUAGAUACGUCAUGAGCCCGGCAGCUCCCCACGGCCCACGGGCUGUGUGGAGCCCGUGAUCGGGCUCUGCAGCCCAGCCGUGGACCGCGGUCGGGGAGCUGCCGGGCUCCCCGACCGCGGGGUUCAGUGUUUCUUAUUUAAAUAAAGUGAUUCUUCUAAAGUGUUCUUGUUCUUAACCGAUUAUUAUCUAAUACCACCUUUAAAAUGUAGCUAAGUGACAUUCAAAAUAAAGGUAUAUUACGAGGGACAAAUAGUAUUAAAAAAAUCCUUUAUUUAAACAUGCC